CGAAAGUUAGAUGAUCGAAGGCGAUCAGAUACCGCCCUAGUUCUAACCAUAAACGAUGCCAGCCAGCGAUCCGGCUGUGUUCCUCAAAUGACACGCCGGGCAGCUUCCGGGAAACCAAAGCUUUUGGGUUCCGGGGGAAGUAUGGUUGCAAAGCUGAAACUUAAAGGAAUUGACGGAGGGCUACCACCAGUAAUGGAGCUUGCGGUUCAAUUUGACUCAACGCAGCAAACUCUACCAGGCCAGGACACAGGGAGGAUUGACAGAUUAAGAGCUCUUUCUUGAUUUUGUGGGUAGUGGUGCAUGGCCGCUCAUAGUUCGUGUAGUGAUUUGUCUGGUUUAUUCUGAUAACGGACGAGGCUCUAGCCUACUAAAUAGACGCUCGGAUCAUUCCUAGUCCGGCGUUUCUUCUUAGAGGGACUGGCGGCGUUUAGCCGCACGAGGCAGAGCAAUAGCAGGUCUGUAACGCCCUUAGAUGUCCUGGGCCACACGCGUGCUACAUUGAAGGAAUCAUCGUGUGCUUUCCCUUUCCGACAGGAAUGGGUAACCCGUUGAACCUCCUUCGUGCUGGGGAUAGGGGAUUGCAACUAUCCCCCUUGAACGAGGAAUUUCUAGUAAGCGUGAGUCAUCAUCUCGCGUUGAUUAUGUCCCUGGCCCUUGUACACACCGCCCGUCGCUAUUACCGAUUGAAUGUCUUAGUGAGGACUUCGGAUUGGCUGUCGAUUUGGCUUUAGGGUCGAGCCGACGUGCCGAAAAGAUGUCCGAACUUGGUCAUUUAGAGGAAAUAAAAGUCGUAACAAGG
rnacentral:rRNA from 2 species